AUUGAACGCUGGCGGCAUGCUUUACACAUGCAAGUCGAACGGCAGCGCGGGGCAACCUGGCGGCGAGUGGCGAACGGGUGAGUAAUAUAUCGGAACGUACCCAGAAGUGGGGGAUAACGUAGCGAAAGUUACGCUAAUACCGCAUACGAUCUACGGAUGAAAGUAGGGGACCGCAAGGCCUUAUGCUUUUGGAUCGGCCGAUAUCUGAUUAGCUAGUUGGUGAGGUAAAGGCUCACCAAGGCGACGAUCAGGAGCUGGUCUGAGAGGAAGACCGGCCACACUGGAACUGAGACACGGUCCAGACUCCUACGGGAGGCAGCAGUGGGGAAUUUUGGACAAUGGGCGCAAGCCUGAUCCAGCAAUGCCGCGUGAGUGAAGAAGGCCUUCGGGUUGUAAAGCUCUUUUGUCAGGGAAGAAACGGUAGAGGCUAAUAUCCUUUGCUAAUGACGGUACCUGAAGAAUAAGCACCGGCUAACUACGUG
rnacentral:rRNA from 1 species